rnacentral:rRNA from 1 species
AAUGAACGCUGGCGGCGUGCUUAACACAUGCAAGUCGAGCGAGGCCAGGGGGGCAACUCCCUGAGUCGAGCGGCGGACGGGUGAGUAACACGUGGGUAACCUACCCGGAAGUGGGGGAAUACCUCGGGGAAACUCGAGCUAAUACCGCAUGACAUCUCGAGGACGAAAGUCCUUGCGAUCAAAGCGGGGCCGCAAGGCCUCGUGCUACCGGAUGGGCCCGCGCCCGAUUAGCUAGUUGGCGAGGUAAUGGCUCACCAAGGCGACGAUCGGUAACCGGCCUGAGAGGGCGAUCGGUCACACCGGAACUGAGACACGGUCCGGACUCCUACGGGAGGCAGCAGUGGGGAAUCUUGCGCAAUGGGCGAAAGCCUGACGCAGCAACGCCGCGUGGAGGAUGAAGGCCCUUGGGUUGUAAACUCCUGUCGGCUGGGAAGAACUCGUUCGCGGCUAAUACCCGCGGACGUUGACUG